GCGCUUAAGUUGUAUACCUAUACAUUAGCUAAAGUAGAUGAUUUUAUUACUUGUGAUAUAAAUUUUGAAACUUUAGUGAGUAGAAGGUAAACAAUGGUAUGCGUAGAAGUGUUUGGCGUAAGCCUGCAUGGAGCUGCCAUUGGUACAGAUCUUGGUGGUAGUAGCAAAUAAUCGAAUGAGACCUUGGAGGACUGAAGUGGAGAAGGGUUUCGUGUGAACAGUGGUUGAUCACGAGUUGUCGGUCCUAAGUUCAAGGCGAAAGCCGAAAAUUUUCAAGUAAACAAAAAUGCCUAACUAUAUAACAAGCGAAUUAUAAUACACUUGAAUAAUUUUGAACGAAAGGGAAUACGGUUCCAAUUCCGUAACCUGUUGAGUAUCCGUUUGUUAUUAAAUAUGGGCCUCGUGCUAUCCUGGCAACGGAACGACCAUAAAGAAGCGUCGAGAGAUAUCGGAAGAGUUUCUUUCUUUUUUAGCCGUACUACAUGGAAGUCUUUCGCAGAGAGAUAUGUAGAUGGGCUAGAAGAGCAUGACAUAUACUGUUGUGUCGAUAUUUUCUCCUCGGACUUGAAAAUUUAUGGUGGGACACGCAAACUUCUCACAGGCCGUACCAAUAUCCGCAGCUGGUUCCAAGGUGAAGGUCUCUAGUCGAUAGAAUAAUGUAGGUAAGGAAGUCGGAAAUUAGAUCCGUAACUUCGGGAUAGGAUUGGCUCUGAAGAUUGAGAUAGUCGGGCUUGAUUGGGAAACAAUAAAUGGUUUAUGUGCUCGUUCUGGGUAAAUAGAGUUUCUAGCAUUUAUGUUAGUUACUUGUUCCCGGAUAGUUUAGUUACGUAGCCAAUUGUGGAACUUUUUGCUAAAAUUUUUAAGAAUAUAUUUGGGUUAAACCAAUUAGUUCUUAUUAAUUAUAACGAUUAUCAAUUAACAUCAAUUCAGAACUGGCACGGACUUGGGAAUCCGACUGUCUAAUUAAAACAAAGCAUUGUGAUGGCCCUAGCGGGUGUUGACACAUGUGAUUUCUGCCCAGUGCUCUGAAUGUCAAAGUGAAGAAAUUCAAGUAAGCGCGGGUCACGGCGGGAGUAACUAUGACUCUCUUAAGGUAGCCAAAUGCUCGUCAUCUAAUUAGUGACGCGCAUGAAUGGAUUAACGAGAUUCCUACUGUCCCUAUCUACUAUCUAGCGAAACCACAGCCAAGGGAACGGGUUGGAAUAAUUAGCGGGGAAAGAGACCCUUUUGAGCUUGACUCUAAUCUGGCAGUGUAAGGAGACAUAAGAGGUGUAGAAUAAGUGGGAGAUAUUAGACCUCGGUUUGGUAUCGUCAUGAAAUACCACUACUCUUAUUGUUUCCUUACUUACUUGAUUAAAUGGAACGUGUAUCAUUUCCUAGCCAUUAUACGGAUAUAUUUAUUAUAUCUUAUGGUAUUGGGUUUUGAUGCAAGCUUUUGAUCAAAGUAUCACGAGUUUGUUAUAUAAUCGCAAACAAAAUUCUUUAAUAAAACGAUGCAUUUAUGUAUUUUUGAUUUGAAAAUUUGGUAUAACUCCAAUUACUCAGGUAUGAUCCAAUUCAAGGACAUUGCCAGGUAGGGAGUUUGACUGGGGCGGUACAUCUCUCAAAUAAUAACGGAGGUGUCCCAAGGCCAGCUCAGUGCGGACAGAAACCACACAUAGAGCAAAAGGGCAAAUGCUGACUUGAUCUCGGUGUUCAGUACACACAGGGACAGCAAAAGCUCGGCCUAUCGAUCCUUUUGGUUUAAAGAGUUUUUAACAAGAGGUGUCAGAAAAGUUACAUAGGAUAAUGGCUUGUGGCGGCCAAGCGUUCAUAGCGACGUCGCUUUUUGAUCCUUCGAUGUCGGCUCUUCCUAUCAUUGUGAAGCAAAAUUCACCAAGCGUUGGAUUGUUCACCCAUGCAAGGGAAGUGAGCUGGGUUUAGACCGUCGUGAGACAGGUUAGUUUUACCCUACUAAUGACAAAACGUUGUUGCGACAGCAUUCCUGCGUAGUACGAGAGGAACCGCAGGUACGGACCAAUGGCACAAUACUUGUUCGAGCGAACAGUGGUAUGACGCUACGUCCGUUGGAUUAUGCCUGAACGCUCUAAGGUCGUAUCCGUGCUGGACUGCAAUGAUAAAUAAGGGGCAAUUUGCAUUGU
rnacentral:rRNA from 1 species